GUUCAUUACGUUCGAAGUUCUCAAAAAGGAAGCAUCGCCACCAUGUACCCGCAACCUCCGCCGAAGACCACGCUAUCAUGAUAUAUUAAUUCAUUAAAGAAAUAUAUGGAAUCUGCAAAUACUGGCAUCAAUACAAACUGGACGAUUGAAUAAAUCGAACAAAAAUGGAGACCAAAAACUCAUGCAAAGAAAAAAGGUUUCCAAUUGAUACAAAUGAAAGAAUACUCUCAAGUUUGUGGAGCGUCAAUUCUACAGUCAACUGCUAAUGAGCAUAGAACUCAAAUUUACUCCAAGCACUGAUGUAUUCAAGUCAAUUUAAUGAGCUUCUGUACACCAGCAAAUACGUUAACUCAUUAAAAAAAUAUAUGAAAUUAGCAAAUACUGGCAUCAAUACAAACUGGACGAUUAAAUAAAUCGCUAAAAAUUGGAGAUCAAAACUUCAUUCAUAGAAAGAUUAUUCCAAUUGACACAAAUAAAAAUAAAUAAAAGAGUACUGUCAAAUUUAUGGAGAUUCAAUUUACAGUUAAUUGCCAAUAACUACAGAUUACUCGAGAUUUCAAAAUAUUUUUAAACAGAAGAAUACUCUACUGCGCACUUUGAAUGCCAGAAUAAAUCUUGUCAUUAUUAAUGAACUAAUUCCAUAAAUAAAUAUAAAAUACAUAUCCAAAUAUCAAAUA